rnacentral:tRNA from 1 species
GGCUCAGUCGGUAGAGCGUCGCCUUGGUAAGGCGGAGGUCACCAGUUCGAUUCUGGUCAUCA